CAGGAGCGGGCGGGGGAGGCCGCGGCCAAGUUCGGGCCCCAGCUCCGGAGACCUGAAGCCCGGUCCGCUUGCCCCAGACCCGUCGCGUUCGCCGGUCCUCUUUGGAAAUCUCGAAAAAGGACACUUCGAACUCUGGAGGCCUCUUUUCUUUGGAAGCCCGGUUGGAUACGGCCUCCGGGAUGCGCACUCCCUCACACCUAGGAGUUGCCCGCGCCCCUAGAGGGCAGGAGCGCGGCCCUUUGUACUGGCCCGCUGUUCUGGCCCGAGAGUGUUUGCGGCCCAGAGGCGUUUCCCUGGGGGGGGGCGGUGGUGGGGGUAGCAGAUAAGCGGCACCUUCUUGGGUAUGCAGGCACACACCUCACUAUGUGUCACUGAGUCUCGGGCAGAAUGACUCUGUUUUCUGCACCAGCUCACGGCAGAAUCUUUGACUUUGGAAAACCCAGGUGAUGGGUAUCCUGGGCCCACCAACCUUCCUGAUGCUUAUCUGGCCUGUAGACACAGCGUGGUUGAGGAAGUGACCUAUCUGUAUCCAGACACCUUGGUGGGUAGGAGGCCAGCACCCCUCUCCUGCCACUGAUUUCAUGUCUGAGCGGCGCCGGCUGUGAGAAAAUUCUGUCGUUCACAGCGCUCUUGAAAAACCUCUUCCAGGAAUGUUUACCCACCGGCCUGUUCUGCCCCUGGGUCUCUACAGAACCAGUCUGGUCUCUUCCACAGAGAUGGAGUCCACAGCCUAUACUCUCAAUCUGACCCUAAAAGAAGAAGAAGAGGAAGAAGAGAUUCAGAGCCGGGAACUGGAGGAUGGCCCCACAGAUAUGCAGAAAGUCCGGAUCUGCUCUGAGGGUGGAUGGGUGCCCGCCCUAUUCGAUGAGGUGGCCAUAUAUUUUUCCGAUGAGGAGUGGGAAGUUUUGACCGAGCAACAGAAGGCCCUCUACCGGGAAGUCAUGAGGAUGAAUUAUGAAACUGUCCUGUCCCUGGAAUUCCCAUUCCCUAAGCCAGACAUGAUCACUCGGUUGGAAGGGGACAAGGAGUCUCAGAAUUCUGACGAGUGGCAGCUCCAAGGAGGACCUUUGGCAGAAACCGAAGAGUCGGACGUCAAGGCCGCGGACUGGGCGGGUCCCAUGGGCGCCGCCGCGCAGUUUCCCCAGCCCCAGCCCCUGGACGGGCUGGGCCUGCGGCUGCCCCGCGACCUCACGGAGCUGCCCGAGUGGAGCGAGGGCUACCCCUUCUACAUGGCCAUGGGCUUCCCGGGCUGCGAGCUCUCGGCGGACGACCUCGCCGGCAAGUUCCAGUUCAGCCGGGGCAUGCGGCGCAGCUACGACGCGGGCUUCAAGCUCAUGGUGGUGGAGUUCGCCGAGGGCACCAACAACUGCCAGGCCGCCAAGCAGUUCGGGGUGCUGGAGAAGAACGUCCGCGACUGGCGCAAGGUGAAGCCGCAGCUGCAGAACGCGCACGCCAUGCGCCGCGCCUUCCGCGGCCCCAAGAACGGCCGCUUCGCCCUGGUGGACCAGCGAGUGGCCGAGUACGUCAGGUACAUGCAGGCCAAGGGCGACCCCAUCACCCGCGAGGCGAUGCAGCUGAAGGCUCUGGAGAUCGCGCAGGAGAUGAACAUUCCGGAGAAGGGCUUCAAGGCCAGCCUGGGCUGGUGCCGGCGCAUGAUGCGGCGGUACGACCUGUCCCUGCGGCACAAGGUGCCGGUGCCGCAGCAGCUGCCCGAGGACCUGACGGAGAAGCUCGUCACCUACCAGCGGAGCGUGCUGGCGCUGCGCCGGGCACACGACUACCAGGUGGCCCAGAUGGGCAACGCCGACGAGACGCCCAUCUGCCUCGAGGUGCCGUCGCGCGUCACGGUGGACAACCAGGGCGAGAAGCCGGUGCUGGUCAAGACGCCCGGCAGGGAGAAGCUCAAGAUCACGGCCAUGCUGGGGGUGUUGGCGGACGGGCGGAAGCUGCCGCCCUACAUCAUCCUGCGGGGCACGUACAUCCCGCCCGGCAAGUUCCCGAGCGGGAUGGAAAUCCGCUGCCACCGCUACGGCUGGAUGACGGAGGACCUGAUGCAGGACUGGCUGGAGGUGGUGUGGCGGCGGCGGACGGGCGCGGCGCCCAAGCAGCGCGGGAUGCUCAUCGUCAACGGCUUCCGCGGCCACGCCACCGACUCGGUCAAGAGCUCCAUGGAGAGCAUGAACACCGACAUGGUGAUCAUCCCCGGCGGCCUGACCUCGCAGCUGCAGGUGCUGGACGUGGUGGUCUACAAGCCGCUCAACGACAGCGUCCGGGCCCAGUACUCCAACUGGCUGCUGGCCGGCAACCUGGCGCUCAGCCCCACGGGCAACGCCAAGAAGCCGCCCUUGGGUCUCUUCCUGGAGUGGGUCAUGGUCGCCUGGAACAGCAUCUCCAGUGAGUCCAUCGUCCAGGGCUUCAGGAAGUGCCACAUCUCCAGCAACUUGGAAGACGAAGAUGACGUCCUGUGGGAGAUCGAGAGCGAGCUUCCAGGAGGCGGGGAGGCGCCCAAGGAAUGCGAGGCGGAGGCGGCAGCGGAGGGCAACUGACCUGAGGGGAGAGCCCAGGUAAUGGGGGGCCCCAAGGACGCACUUGGCGCCUCCAGUGACAGCCCUCUUCGGGUUCCCCAGACACCCCUCCUCUUGCCGCUACUGUCUCCUGUUCCAAGAGCUCUCUAGCCUGGGGUAAGGGCGCCAUCGACGCCCGGCCAUCGGCUUCUCCCUGACAUCAGCCUGCCGUUGCCUGGCUUAUCUGUGGGUGUUGGACCGGGGAGCGCUUCUACGGUACCUAAAAUGAACAGAGUCAGCUACCAGAACAUUUCCUCUGAGCGCCAUCGUGCUCAAAUUAUUUGGGCCCGAAAGGAUAUAGUCUGACAUUGCUCAUUUAAACAAAAAGUUUUGUCCUGAAGCCAACUUCCUUCUUUCCCUUAUAAAUCAUGUUGCGCAUUUAGGGCGGGGUUAUGUUAUCUGAUGCCCUUGGAGUGACUGUGCUCCCUUUCUGGGGCCUGUAGGGCCGUCGUGGGGGAGAGCACGGCGUUGUGGGCCUCGGCUCUCCGUCCUGGAGUGGUCCGCGGAAGCCCACUGGGACGUGAGAACGGUAGCUUAGGCUUGCUUUUCCCUAGGAAUUCAGGGGUGUUUUCCAACGUCAUCUUAGUCUCCUAGUGACCUUCACGUGGAUGCAGGGAGCAGUUGCAGUAAUUUCUUGUAGUCCACUGACGUCUGAAGAGAGAGAUUUCUAAAUUGAAUCUUUGCACCAAAAAAAGAAAACAGGGCACAUAUCUAGGACUACAGUGAAUAAAGUCCAAGGACUAGGACAAUAGGCCUGGAAUUUUCAGAGUUGAAUAUAGAAGGGGAGCAGCUUUAAGAGGAAGUGGGGAGUGGGGACUGAGAGACGACACCGGUGACUGUUCACCAAAGUGAACAAGUGGAGGGGAGCCUCCACCCCCCCCCAUACACAGCUCAAGAUGAGAGAACAGCCCACCAGCAAUUGGAACUAUUUGAAACAGGUGAGGAGGAGAAUCCUCGAGAAGAUUCCUCAGUGUGGAUGCACAGGGCGCAGCAAAAGGCCACAGGGCUCUGGACAGCAGCCCGUGUACCCCACCCCAUGACACAGCCCAGCCCCGCUGCCCAUCCACAAAGUGUCAGAAAAGGUGUCUGGGACUCUGAGUUCAGCAGAGACAAUGAUUAGGGAAGAAAUGGCUUCUGUCCCUUUUUUUUUUUUUUUUUUAAG